UACAUUGGUUUGAUGAUUGGGUGCAA
rnacentral:sRNA from 1 species